UGCAUAGCCCCGCACAGCACUUUUCAUCUUUUUUAUUUUCUCUCUCUCACCUCUCAAGAGAGAGAAGGUUUCUCAGAGAUAGAGACAUGAAAGAAAGGCGUGGGUUUCUGCAAGGUAAUUUGCAAGUGAAAUCUGGAAAAUUUGCUAGUGAUGGAGAAAUUGAUCAAGAAAAAGAAGAGUACUGUGGGGAUGCAAUGAUCUACUUCUUCUUCUCCAAGUUGGGUUGUUCAUGAUGUUAAUUGGGUGCUAUCCUACCUGAGCUUGAUAUAUAUAUAUAUAUAUAUAUAUAUAUAUAUAUCUCUAUAUAUUUCAUUUUCCCUUUCCUUUCUUCCAUUUUCUUGACCUUGUAAGACCUUUUCUUGACCUUGUAAGACCCCACUUUGUGUUUCUUGCUUAGUUUUGUGUCUCCCCUUGAACUCGUGAUCAAUCACUCUUCUUCCUUGUUCCCCUCCAACUCAUCUUCUCCUUCCUUGUCUAUCCCUCCUGAGCUGCCUCAUCCCUCCAUAAUACCAUUAUUAAUGGAGAGACUAAUAAUUACUUCAAGUUCCCAUCUGGGUUUAGUUUAUUUUCUUAAUUACCUUUCUCUUUUACAUGGAUAUAUAUAUGCAUGUGAAAAGUUAUAUAUAGUGUACUUUGGUAUGUAAAAAACCUCGCUUUCUUAUUCUGUUGACAGCAUCAAUGCUUAGAUUGGUAUUAUGUGUGUGUUGCAGUUAGGCUUUCAGUUUUUUUCUUUGUUUUAUAUGUUGUUUGGCUGAGAAGUAUUGUAAGUGCAGUAGAGAGAAUAAUAUCUCUUCUUUUUCAGAUUAUGAUGAUGAUCAUGAUUCAUCA